CGGAAAAUAGUUUAUAAAAAAUACUGAUUUUGUAAAUCAGAGAAAAUUAUUCCUA
rnacentral:tRNA from 1 species